rnacentral:rRNA from 1 species
UACGAAGGGGGCUAGCGUUGUUCGGAUUUACUGGGCGUAAAGCGCACGUAGGCGGAUCGUUAAGUCGGGGGUGAAAUCCUGGAGCUCAACUCCAGAAUUGCCUUCGAUACUGGCGAUCUCGAGUCCGGAAGAGGUGAGUGGAACUCCUAGUGUAGAGGUGGAAUUCGUAGAUAUUCGCAAGAACACCAGUGGCGAAGGCGGCUCACUGGCCCGGUACUGACGCUGAGGUGCGAAAGCGUGGGGAGCAAACAGG